rnacentral:rRNA from 1 species
UUAGGAAUAUUGGGCAAUGGAGGAAACUCUGACCCAGCAACGCCGCGUGAAGGAUGAAGGUUUUCGGAUUGUAAACUUCUGAUCUGUGGGAAGAAAAAAAUGACGGUACCACAGGAGAAAGCUCCGGCAAACUACGUGCCAGCAGCCGCGGUAAUACGUAGGGAGCAAGCGUUGUCCGGAAUAACUGGGCGUAAAGGGAGCGUAGGUGGCAAUUUAAGUUAAAUGUGAAAGCCCGGGGCUUAACUCCGGAAUGUCAUUUAAUACUGGAUUGCUUGAGUGCAGGAGGGGUAAGCGGAAUUCCUAGUGUAGCGGUAAAAUGCGUAGAUAUUAGGAGGAACACCAGAGGCGAAGGCGGCUUACUGGACUGUAACUGACACUGAGGCUCGAAAGCGUGGGGAUCAGACA